rnacentral:tRNA from 1 species
UGGGAUGUCGCCAAGUGGUAAGGCGAUGGACUCUGACUCCAUCAUUCGUAGGUUCGAAUCCUACCAUCUCAGCCA